CCGCUUGGACCGCUCGUGUUUGGGCAGGUUCCAGGGCAGCGUGUCCCCCGGCGCCGGCGACACCGUCCCCGACCUCUGGCUGAAGUCCUCCUCGUCGGAGAAAUCGGCGGAGGACGACAUGGAGCAUCGAAGUUUCCUGCUCACUGAGGUGGUGAGCUUCCACUAUGGGUUGUGUUUCCUCCAGGCGAGGUGUUACUCGUCUUCUGGCAUGGCGGGGGCUUGAUCUAAAGCCCUGCAAGAGAAAAGGGAAUCAUCGUGUUUGGCAUCUCCCAAUAUGGGCUGUGUAACAACUGCAACGUCACACUGGACCUUAACAACUCAAGCAGAAUACCUGCUGAAGUCCUUAUGCAACAAAGCCAGCAUUUUAGAUUCCAACUUCUGCGAGGUUAGAUUUCAGAUAAAACUGCAGAAAUCUUUGCUGUGAAUCUAAAUAUCCUGAAUUCCUGCCAGCAGAAAACUAGUGGGAGCACUACAUUUCCAUAUAAAUCUGCUGUUCUUUUGCUCCUUCCUUCCAUUAGCUUUUGGGUUUUGGGAUUUGUUUUGCCUUUUUUGUUGUUGUUUUAAUUAGGAAACCAGCACAGAAGAGUUGUGCUAAAAUGCUGUUAUGUUGGUAAAUUGAAACAAUCAAAAGUAUGGCUCUGUGAAAACUGGAUUUCUUCCACUAAUGUUCAUGAGACUGUAAGGGAAGGCAGUGUCUGUCCUGGACACUCAGACAGAAAAACAGCUAUCCUCAUUAUUUAAAUGCAUUCCACAUUAAGUAAAUAUACCCUUAAAUGGCCAAAAGACACAAACACACAUUUACAUACACAUGCUAGUAAUUGCUAUAGAAAACAUUGCAUGCAACAGAUGAUGUAAAAAGGCUGAAGUGGAAAGGUGAAGUAACUUCCAAGGAACAACCUUCUACACAUAACAUGGAGAGGAGGGACAGAAAUAGAGCCCAAAUCUCCUUAGUCAGUCAGGGAGGUUCAUGUCUGCAGUGCAUCAGGGCUGUGCAAUACAUAUGAUGCAAAGGUACAGCCAGCAUUUCCUGAAUCUUUUUUUAUGAUCCCUCCUACUCUUCAGAAGCAAUGGAAUCAUUCAGAGUUUGGGUAAGGACAGACCCUGACACCCUGGGUCUGAAUGGAAGCAGGACCCUGCCCAUAUCAACCAAAGCAAGCAGUACAGUGGAAGCCACUGCAGCCAGCAGAUCUUUGCAGUUUUAGGAGGAUCUCCAAACAUUCCAAGAUGUAAACCUGAGACUCUGCCACACUAUUGCAGCAGGAAAGCAAAUUGCCCCAUUUUCCUUCCACACUGUGAAAUAGCUAACAGAUACUUACAAUGUAUCAUUCCACGUGGUACUAGGGACUAUUUGGGAUAAGAGGGAAAAGUACAACUCAGGGAGCCUGCUGUAGCAGGGCUUACUGCUCGUGGAAAUUUCCUUUUAGAAAAAAAUGCUAGUGUGCAUCAGGGAUUAUUCCAUAGCAAGUCAAAAUAUUCCUUAAGAGACCAAAGCACCCAGCAAAUCUAUUCCAAGUUCUGAAAUCAGAAUAGAUUUUUAAAAUGCUAGAUGCAUUAUGGUUUAUUUAUGUGAGGGCCCCUGGCCAAAGCCUUGUGAUACACCCUGCACUGCUCCCUCGCCACACUCCCAUCCCAUUAGCUGGAUAAAACUCUUCAGGAAAGUAUGUUUAUGUAACAGAAGAAUUUGAUAGAAGCUAAGCAGCUCUAAAAGUGCUUAGAAACACAUGCCAAAUAGGGAUUUAAGUAUGUGGGUCUGUCUCACCAAGUGGCUUCACCUCAAAACAUGUCUAGGUUUAUUGAUUAUUAUGUUUCAAUAUGAAAAAGUCACCAGUGAUUUCCAGAAAAAUCUAUUUAUAGACAGCAUUUUGCCUUGAUAUUUUCUGUAUUUUUUUCACUUUUGGUGUUUAUUACUAGCAAGAAAAUGGGAUCUUUAUCUCUUUAAGAGCUCAUCUGCUUCUGUUUGCUGAGGCUCAUUCUUCUCUUGAAGUCAUAAUCUGCCUGCAGUAUCACAAAUAGUUGCUGUGAGGAGGAUUAUAAUGUGAUAAAGGCAGAGGAUCAUGAUUUCAGGUGGAAAAUUAAUUCUGUAUCUACAAAGAUAAUGUUACAAGGGCAGAGUCCUCAGACCAAAUCCCAAAAUGCUUACUCAUUCCUGCAAUGGGACUUUGCUAGAGCAAAGAGGCAAAUCCAGAAAAUUUCAAAAUUUGGUAAUCAAAAACGAAGACAGGAGGCAAAAGUGAUUUAACAUAUGGAAGCUGCUACUCCUAUGCUCAGUGCAAAAUUAGAGUGCCUGGUGAUUCCUUCUAAACAGUAAAAUGAACAGAAGCUUUUUGUGUCAUCUGUGUUAUUUAUCCCUCAGUUUAGUCCAGAAUUAAAAACAUCAUAUUAAUACAGCAAUCAAAACAAAAACCACGGAAAUCACACAAAUAUUUGUUUGGCAAAGACAGCGCUAUUUUAGAUGUCAAGUCAGUGCUCAUAGAUGAGCAGAAAAGUGUUACAAAAUGCUCAGGGAAGCACAGUACACCACCUGAGACCAAAUCACUGAGGAAAAGCUGGAGAUUUUAAAAUCACAGGGAUAUUACAAUGAGGUUGCUCUAACACCAUUAAACAAUUUGUAGUUUCCAGUAUCGUGAAUGCUGUGUCACUGGGCAAUGAAAACCUUGUCUUGUUCUUUGUGCUGGGAGGGAGUUGCUCAUUUCCAGAACCUACUGCCUGACUCAUUUUUGUGCUGUAGAAUUCUGAAACAAGGCAAACCAAACAAAACUUCAAACAUGUAUUUUUAGAAAACCUGUCUUCCAAAUACCAAAAUAGCUGCACAAAGAUUUACACUAAAGUAGUCUUCCUUAAAGAAACAACUCAUAUGACCACCAGAACCAGCUUUAGGCAUAUCAGAGGAAGACAUGAGGCCAAUUGAACCUGGAAUUAUCUUCUCUGCAAAAGCAUUCAUGUGCAUCCUUCCAGUUAGAGUCUGUUGGAAUCCAGGAAGAGUGAUCUUCCUAAUCAAAGUCUACAGCAAACAGGAAUGGAGAUGUGUCUCUGGAGGCUGCUGCAGAGCCAAAGGCUAGUUCAUCUGAUCGCAAGUGAACUUUUCUGUAUGAGGAAGCAGGCUGGGGAGAUCAGCCUUUUUUAGCUGAAAUUCAUCCUUUUAAAUCUCUGAGUGUUGGGGGUUUUUGGUUUGUGGGGUUUUUUUUGUUUGUUUGGUUGGUUGGUUGGGUUGUUAUUGUUUGUUUGUUUUUUCCUCUUGAAUGGGAUGUGAUAAUAUUGAAAGAA